rnacentral:rRNA from 1 species
GUGAGGAAUAUUGGUCAAUGGGCGCAAGCCUGAACCAGCAACGCCGCGUGGAUGAUGAAGGCCUUCGGGUUGUAAAAUCCUUUUCUGAGGGACGAUAAUGACGGUACCUCAGGAAUAAGUCCCGGCUAACUACGUGCCAGCAGCCGCGGUAAAACGUAGGGGGCGAGCGUUAUCCGGAUUUAUUGGGCGUAAAGCGCACGUAGGUGGCGCUGUAAGUUGGACGUGAAAGCUCCUGGCUCAACUGGGAGAGGUCGUUCAAGACUGCAGUGCUUGAGGUUGGAAGAGGAGAGUGGAAUUCCCGGUGUAGUGGUGGAAUGCGUAGAUAUCGGGAGGAACACCAGUGGCGAAAGCGACUCUCUGGUCCACACCUGACACUGAGGUGCGAAAGCGUGGGGAGCAAACGGGAUUAGAAACCCCAGUAGUCC